GCGGGAAAAGCUCAAAUUUAAAAUCUGGUAGCUUUGGUUACCCGAGUUGUAUUCUAGAGAGGUGUUUUCCGCGUUGGACCGUGUACAAGUCUCUUGGAACAGAGCGUCAUAGAGGGUGAGAAUCCCGUCUUUGACACGGACUACCAGUGCUUUGUGAUACACUUUCAAAGAGUCGAGUUGUUUGGGAAUGCAGCUCAAAAUGGGUGGUAAAUUCCAUCUAAAGCUAAAUAUUGGCGAGAGACCGAUAGCGAACAAGUACCGUGAGGGAAAGAUGAAAAGCACUUUGGAAAGAGAGUUAAACAGUACGUGAAAUUGCUGAAAGGGAAACGCUUGAAGUCAGUCGCGUUAUCUAGAACUCAGCCUUUCUUCCCUUAGAUGGUGCAUUUUCUAGUUUAACGGGCCAGCAUCAGUUUCGACUGCAGGAAAAAGAUCAGAGAAAUGUGGCAACCUCGGUUGUGUUAUAGUCUCUGGUUGCAUACUGUGAUUGGGACUGAGGUAUUCAGCACGCGCAAGCUGUGCUUAGGAUGCUGGCGUAAUGGCUUUAAACGACCCGUCUUGAAACACGGACCAAGGAGUCUAACAAACCUGCGAGUAUUUGGGUGGUAAACCCGAGUGCGCAAUGAAAGUGAAAGUUGGGAUCUCUGUCGCGGAGAGCACCGACGCCCGGACCAGACCUUUUGUGACGGAUCUGCGGUAGAGCAUGUUUGUUGGGACCCGAAAGAUGGUGAACUAUGCCUGAAUAGGGUGAAGCCAGAGGAAACUCUGGUGGAGGCUCGUAGCGAUUCUGACGUGCAAAUCGAUCGUCAAAUUUGGGUAUAGGGGCGAAAGACUAAUCGAACCAUCUAGUAGCUGGUUCCUGCCGA
rnacentral:rRNA from 1 species